AGUGCCAUGUUUAGUCAGUCAAAAUCGUUUAAAAAUAUUCCCUUUUCCAUGCUUCAAAUUGACUGCAUAAUACAUGCAGUAAAUCUACUGUUACUUAAAGGGAUAAUUUGCGUGAAAAAAUUAAUUCUCUCAUUAUUUACUAAUUAUUUUUCAUGCAAUGACAACCAGUCCAUACUGAAAGUUAUAAGCUUCAAAAAGCUUUGUACACACCAAAAACUGUAACUGUACAGAUAACUAUAUUAGCAUUCACAGCAAUAGAAGAUAAUAUUCUGUUUUAUUAUAAACAUGCACUGCAGUUUUGUUGUCUGCUGCUUUAAAUGUUCGAGUCGAUGGAUUUUCAAUGUAUUCAUCAUUCAUCAGCUGGGAAAAAAAAGUUCUGACGCUAUCACUCCUUUAUCUUGUUAUCUUUAUGGCUGUGUUGUGAACUUCCCUUUUUAUAUAGAAUUACUGCUAUUACUAUAACUUUAUAGUUAUUGUUUGUAAAGACCAUAACAUACAUUUUGAUGCAAAUGACUACCAUAAUCUUAUUUUUCUAAAACCAUUCAAAUUUUUCUUAGAAAUGGACCAAAAUGUGAGUUAUUACUCAUAAUAACAUCUCCACUCCGGUGAUUCUUUGAAUCAGUGACUUCAAGAACUGAAUCGGUCUGAUUCAUGAAUCAUGAAUUUAAAUGAUUCCGUUCCAAGUUCCAUUUGUGAUUCACUGAAUCAAUACCAAAUCAAUCUAAUUUGUGAACUUAUCAAUCUGAUUUAUAUUCAAUUCAGAUUCAUUCAGAAUAAGCUUCACUCCUAUUGUCAUGUUAUGGAGAGAGAAAAAACGACCAGCACUGCCUUUUGGAAGUACUACUACUGUGUUCCACAAUCACACGAUUAGCAACAACAUAAAAAAAUAAAAUAAAUUAUGACAGAAUUUUCAUUUUUAGGUGACCUAUUUCAUAAAUAAUAAAAUCUUAGUAUCCACGGUGUCGAGCACAGCACCCAUGCAUGCAAUAAAAAGACUUCUGUUCUUUGUGAUUAUUCUGUUUAACCUGUUUUUCUUGUUUUGCUAAGUUAAAAGGCAAAAGUAGAUGAAUAAAAAGAAAAAAGACCGUUAAAAGGAUACAGAAGGGUGAAGGAAACUUGUUCUUUUAUGUUCCUCAGUGGCACCAACAAGCAGACCUCUUGUAAGCCAUCUCCCCCAGUGGCUUGAGUGUGUGCCAGAUUUCUGCUUGGCACAGGAGAUCAGGUAUUAAAUGCUAGCGAAGCACAAUGAAAUGUGGUGUGCUGUUAAACACGUACAAAAUUUCUGCUAUUGGAGCCUUUAGCAAUGCGAAGCCGAGGCCUGGAGCGAGAGCCCAUAUCAAACGCAUUCAGCACGGCUGCCUCCUCGCUCUAUACAGCACAGUGAGGUUGUGUGGGACUAUUUAUCCAGUACCAAAACUGCUGCCACUUUCUUUUUUUGCGGAUGACACCCCCUCACUGACUACUCUAAUUCCAAGCAUCUGGUCCAUCGCUUUUCUCUCUUUCUCUAUUCUCUCCAUUUCUCUUAGGAAGGAGCUUUAUUCAAACAGCCUGAUGUGUUGUUAUAGACAUGUCAACCUCAAUUAUUCAGUUGUGCUCUGCCUUGGCUUCUUUCUCUUUCCUUGUAAUCCAUCCAUUCUCUCUGCCUGUCUCUCUCUCGUUCUUUCUCUGCAGUGAGCGGGACAUGCACGGGGGAGGGACAGUCAGCAUAUUCUAGAUAUGAAAAAAAAAAAAUAGAUGCCAAUGCUAUAAAACAGACGAAUCAAAGAUUUUACGUACUACGAACAUGCAUCAAAUUGAUAAAAAAUGACAGUAAGAUGUUUGUAAUGUUACAUCAAGAUUUCUGAAAAUGUAUUCUGGUUUUCACAAAAUUAUUAAGCAGCACAACUGUGAUGAACAUGGAUAAUAAAUAAUAAUAAGUGUUUUUUAGCAUCAAAUCACCAUAUUAAAAUGAUUUCUGAAGGAUCACAUGACUGGCUGCUGAAAAUGUUCUGGCUGGGGUGUCUUUCCUUCCUCUCUCUGGCUUGUAGGGCAAUAUGAUAGCAUGCCUGGACCCAGUGUCUGCUUUUAUUUAUAGUGUGCCAGUGACCACAGACUAAGCAAGCCUGAAAUAGGCAGCCUCUGAUCCCAUAAUGACCCAGCUAUUAUCAGGCCUGUGUCUUAAUUUGGGGGACCCGCUAUCGUGGUCAAGGAGGACAGAAAGCUAGCUGCUAGCUUACAGCCUCUCUUUUAAAAAUCCAAGCUGCUUUUCAGCUUAUUGUAAACAGGGUAAUCACUGUUCCUUUGGACAGCUUUGGCUUAACUGGCUUCGCCAUAUAGCGCUUUUGGUUUGCUUGUCUGCGGCUGUCUCCUGGUGGAGUCGUCAGAUCACCUGGGCCACAGCGCAAUAGGAGGCUUUGAUUGUUUGGGAUCUUGGUUCGGAGGAGGCAACUCUGAGAAGUGCAUGCAAAAGCUGAAGAGGUUGAGUGUGAAUGAAGUGAGGAAUGUGGGAUGACUGUGUGACUGGACUGACGCACAGAGCUUUGAUGUGUGGUAGACGUGAAGUCAGCUUGUAAAAGAUUUGCUCCACAUGCAUAGGGGAGGUGAUGGAUUCAUGAACAACUGCCAUGUGAGAUAUCAUCGGGCCAUUUCUCUGUAUACAUCUUUUUAAAUAAUGUUUGGAAUUACUGUAAUAAUGCUAUAAUACUGCAAUUUAAUAAAAAAAAAGGCUACUGGCCCUGUCUAUGAACUCUCAUGGGCAAAAACAAGUUUAUCCCUGGCUGGAGUCUUACGUAUACCGCAGGACCUACAUAUAAAAACCUAAAUGGGUAUGAUAGGAAAGGAAUGUCUGGGUCAAACCCUGCAAGCAUGAAUUACAACCGCAGUAAAACGGCCAUGGUGGUGUUUCUGCGAAACGGUCACUCUGACAAAUCUGCGGCUACGCGUGCUGCUCAAUUCACACGUUUUAGCUGGUCCAACUGUACUGGCUGCUGAUAGAAUUAGUCUUUCCAAAAGGAUUAGUCACCCUAUCAUCAAGCCUUCUCCCUAAUUUAUCUCCCUUUGUUGUGGUGCAGGCUGCAUUAAAUGGGAUCAGGGGCCUUGGCCAGAGACAGUGGGAGGAAGUGGCCCUUUGUGUGCCUGGCAGGUGCACAGGGGUGUGGAAUGACACUGGCAUUUGCCUGUAAAGGGGGGUCGGGGGGCAUCUGCGUCUUUGAGGCCUGACCUGUUGGUUUGGAAGGGAGUUUGGUUGGGAAUGCGUUUUCUACCAAACUCUUUCUUUCUGGCUGUUGCUGUCUCUUUCUUCUCUUAACCAGCCUCACCACUGGAUAAGUGCUCCUGAGAUAUCCCAGAAACCCUUGCAACUCCACUUGAACCCUUAAUCAAAGGACUCUUCUGGGGUUGGCAGUAAAUUCUUCAGACAAAUGUUUUUUGCACUCUCUCGGUCUCUCUUCCUCUCACUCUCUCUUUCUUCUGUACUCCCUCCUCUCUCGGUUUUCUCCGCUCACAUCUGGUGAGCAGUCCUUUCACUGAUUUUACAGUUCUGAGGUCAUUUUCAUCCUAUGAGAAAAGUGAAACCUUAUGAGGGGAACUGCCAGGGAAAUGCACAGCCAGGAGGGGUUGUUACAGACCACUUUAGUGGGAUGGAUUUUUUAUUUUAAAUUUUUUUAUGCUGUUUUACCAAUGUCUGUUAACAAGGCCAUUCUUGGCUAUUCAGGAAUGUAAGUUGUCUUCAUCCCAAAUCUCUGUCUGAAAAUCACAUAUGUGCUCUACAGCAAAAACAAUUCUGGAGACGUAUGGAGCGCUAAUGAAAAUUUUCAUGAAAGAAACCCACCAGAGCAGAUUUCGAAGUAGGUUUUCGCCUCCCCACCCUCUUUUUUUUUUUAACCAGUUUUUCAAGGUCAUUUAUAAAACUUAUUUUCAUUGAAAUCCCUGACAAGCCUUGGCUGCGUUUUGCUUGCAGAAGGCCUCACUGCAAAAACCUGAGACAGCUGUGGCCACUGAAGUGUUCAGCAUUCAGCAAGGAAACCAAGUGCUGCAUAUGCAGAAAGUGGGAGACAUUUCCUGGAAUGCAAACAACCUCCCUGUCUGAUUUUUACUGAAAAUGGGCUAAAGAGGUGUCUUUUGGAAGGAUUGUGUCUUUAUUUAGAUUCAGAGACUCAGACUGUCCAUUAUGUAUGAUUUCCGCUCCUAUAAGCACCACCAGUUCACUGUCUGUAAUCUAUCUUCCUUCUUCCUUUCCUCCAUUCAUCUCUCUCUCCUUCUUUUCCACCAGAGAAUAUGAAGAAAAUGUGCUGAAGCUGCAUUUGUUCCUGCUGGCUGACACAAAAAGCUAAUUUAGAGCUCCCCUCCCUUCUUUCAAUUAAAGCUUCUCAUAAAUAUGGAGUUUUCUGUCUGUGGUGGUGAAGGACGCCAAAUUAGAGCUAGCCUGUAAAAAAAAUAUAUAAAUGACUUAAGCUCAAACAGUUGAAGAAUUUAGAAAGAAGCUUAGGGAUCAGGCUGAGGGCACAUGGUGUUGGUAAUCAUAUUUAUGCAUAUUAAAGCCCAAGGGGAUUUUCAAGAAUGCUUGGGUAAUGAGUUUCUUUGGCCACCUUCAGUCAGAUGUUGUUGAUUAAACUGGUCAAAUGCUUGUAUCAAACCAUAUUAGAUCAGGAAGAAUUUGGCCUUGCCGUUGUCUCAAAAUAUUUCACAAAUAUUUAACUAUUUUCCCACUUAUUUACUUUGUAAACAGCUGAUUUAUCUUGAAGACUGACAGGAGGUCACCUCAAGUUGUUUCAGCUAAUACACAUAGCUUCAAAACAGAGCCAUUUGAUGUCAUUCGAACGGUGUGAAAAGGAGUGGUCCAGUCUUCUAUGUUUUACAGCAGCCUUCAGCUUAAUGAGGAGAGUGUUAAAUUAAGCUCUAUCACUUCAAUUGCCCGCAGUCCCAGCACCCCUAAUGGCCCAGGAAGCCCGGGCAGGGGUUGUAGGGAGGUCAGGUUGAAUUACAGAACAUAAACAACAACACAAGCCUCCUAUCACCAGAGAAAAUAAAAGCUACGGCAGAUGAGGUAAGAGGGUGGAGCUGAUGGCAGUUGUUGUUUUUUGGGGGGCUGGGGAAGCAGCUAAUCUCUUGAACUGAUAACUAGCAGAGAAGAUUAUUGAUUGAUGAUUGAUUGAUAUUUUUUUAAAUGGAAAUCUUGCACUUGUAAACUCUUUGACCUGGAUGUUGACAGUGAAGUAAAAAAAGAUAGAUAGAUAAAUAUAUUUACAGUGAUCGAUGGGACUGACAGCUCUUCUGAUAGAUAAAUGGCUAGAAAGAGAGUGAAUGUCAGUUCAUCAGGGUCAGCUGGUUUUACUAGAGCUGGAGACGAGUCCAGAGACAAGGGGUCCAGGGGCACACAGACUCCCCCACCAUCUGGCAGCCAUAAAAGGCUUGGAAGUUGGAGUUUUAGGGUUUUUUUACAGCCUUGCAGGGUGAGACAUGGCAAGGCACUCUGGAUGCCCCCAAGUUCCUCAGCUUCCUCCACAGCCUUCUGUUGCAGAGAGAAUUUUACAAGGCAGGACAGCAGACGUGAUUCACACAGAUGGCGAGAAGUUGGACCCUGGUGAGUCAACGAAUGAGUUUUGUGUCGAUAUGCGUCAUCAUGUGCCUCAUCAAAUCGCUCUGAAACUUCAAACAGCCCCACUGACGCGGAACGGAAUAAUUAUGAAGUAAUACAAAAAUUUGUGUAUAUUUUGUUGCUACAAUCAGUUCAAAAGGUCAGGAAAUUAAAAAAAAUAUGACUGGAAAUCAUGCACGUUGCCAAAAAUCCUGUCUGAUAUUCUAUCGUUCUACAAUCCUAUCUCGAGUGCUUUGCUUAUUGGGUUUUUCAGGUCUGAUCAAGCCUGGAUUCCUUUAGAAAUUAUAUCUAAACUAUCUAAACGUCUAAACUAACUUUAACACCUUCGGAAGCUUAAGUAACAAUGUCCUCUCGUAAAUAUCAGUUAACAGAGAAUCAAACUGAGAAAGCGUAAAGACAAUUUUGAUCCUGUCUAUAAAUUUGGUCUGAAUAACAAUGACUUUCCUCCAACUUCUUGGCCUUGUUUUUGUUUCCUGUCUCAUUUCCAUCUAGUGUAUCUCAGUGUGGUUGAGUUUCCAGUCUCUUUAUGGACCCCACUUGUUUCAGCAUCCUCUUUGAAGGACGAAAACGGCUGACAGUGGAAGAGUAAAAACUGUGUUUGGCAGGCACGCCCUUGAAGGUUUCUAUGUCACUCAAGCCCAUUGAAUUUUUAAUUAUUUCCUGGCUGUGGUAUUCUGCUCCACUUCACUAGGGCGCCUGGCUCCAUGCUGUCUCACAGCUCAGAUGGUAGACACUGUUUUAGACAUUUGCGGUUAAAUCUGCUCAAAUUCUUAGACGCCUACUGCAAGCAGGUGAGACCUUGGUUCAUGAGACUUUUUUUUAAAAGGAUAGUUCCUAGGGCUGCACAAUAAAUCGAAAUUAAAUCGAAAUCGCGAGUAGACAUAAGCUGCAAUUGUCAUGCGAAACUCUAAAUACGCCCAGCAGAAGAAACCCAGUAAGUGCCUAUAGCGGUUUCUGAAUAAACCAAAGAUUUAAAUGCUUUUAUUGAUUCAGCGUAAAUAAUAAACACAACUGCGGCAAUCUAUGGUUUAUCGGAGUUAUUAUUGUUAUAAUUUUCAGUAUAAUAAAGUGUAUUUUUAAUGAAAUCCCCUUUAUCACUGCAUAGAACACUAUGUUAUGUGCCUUAUUCUGUGUAAGAAGCCACAUCAUCUACCAGAAGGAUUUAUUUCAUACUCGGCUGACAGUAUGAAGUAAGUUUGGAGUAAAAACGUUAUUAAAUGUGGUAUUUUCACGUGCUUUCAGAUCGAGCAGCAUUUACUACACAGAGCCGUAAUUCACUGACAAAUACGGAAACAGCUGUUACAAUCACGAACGAUUUCUUCAAUUUCAUAAUCAUACGAUUAUAUGGUCUGUGAAUUUUUAUUUGUAUUUUGUUUGCGUAGCUUGUCAGUGAGCUAUGGCUCUGUGUAGUAAAUUGCUGCUCCGUCUAUAAGCAUGUGCUGGAGAUUUACUACUAAUCACAGAACCGGCUUUUCUGACCAGAUGUCCAUUACAAUUGCAUUUGAUUAAAGAAAAUUCUGUCAUUUACUCACCCUCCUGUCGUUCAAAACCUAUAUGACUUUCUAUUUUUGAGCAGACCACAAAAGAAGAUAUGUUGAAGAAGUUUUCAAGUGUUGCCAUCCAUACAAUCAAAGUCAAUGGGGACUUUCUCAUUAUCCAUCAAAAACACAAUAAAAAAAAAUAAUAAUAAAAAGUCCUACAUAUUUGAAAUGAGUAAAUUAUUUAUUUUAUGCAUAAACGAUCCCUUUACUCUAGGCUACUGUAAAUCUAACAGUCUCUGAAGCAUGUUGGUGCACAUGCAAAACUAAAUUGCCCAUAUUUACAGCUCCAGCAUUUCCUGAAAGGGGGUCUGCUGGAGACAGACGGCACUUCCCACUUUGCUAUGAAUCCCGCACGCAGCUUUUGUCUCUCAGACUGAUGCAUUUAGCAUUCAUAUCCAUCAUUAUAUCCUGCCCGGCAGACAGCAGUAAUGUAAUCUCUGUUGAUUUACGGGCAGAAGUGUGCAUCCCAACUCCCAACAGCUGGAUCUGCUCUGUUUCAGCGCUGUCUGAUCAUGCCUAUUGCAUUUGCCCCUUAUAAUUAUUAUAAUAAUGACUUCAAAUGCAUUUGAUGCCAGGACCUCUGAUUGCACUUGACAAGAGCUUCUCCAGGCUGGUGAGUUGCACAUCAAAGACGCAUUCGGAGGGUGGUGCGGUUCAAGCAUUUGGCUCAAGAUUUAUUGAGAGGCUCUUAACAUAUUUUUUAGGCCGUUUCUCCCUCACUUUUCCGUGUCAUGUCGAGGUCUCCCGAGUUCCAAGAGAGGAAAAGAGUAAUAAGAAAGAGAAUGAGAGCGGGAGAUUUUGAAUAAACGGCUGGAAAUAAUGAUCUCUGUUCUGAGUUAGUGGUUACAUCAACAGCAGUGAUUCAGGGAGGAAAAAUGCGGUUUAUGUCUCUUUAAGUCUCUAGGCUGUCUGCAAAAUGCAUUAGUCCUGUGGAGCAGACACAGGCCAGGGCAGAGGGAGGAGCCCAGGGCUGCAGAGGGGGGAAGUGCUGGAGGAUGGAACAGCCGCAGUCUGGGCCUCCAGCCUCCUGGCUAGACUGUUCAAAGUUAUUAUUGAGUUCCUGAGCAGAGCCUCCCCUCCCUGCCAUACUGGUGUCUGUUCACCCUCUGCUCUCGUUCUCUCAGACUCGCUGUGUGGGUAUACUGCCAAUUCCCCAUUAUAUUAUGGCCUUAUACAGUAACACAGCACGCUUUAGCAUUUUUAAAAGGACAUUUUCAAUCCUUUUUUAAGAAUUAAAACUUGAUGGUAACACUUUGCAUUAAAAUUCACAUGGCUGACACUGGUUAAUGCAUUUGUAUCCUGAACUUACAAUGAACAACGAUUUCUUUAUGGCAUGUCUUAAUUUAUAAAUAUAGUAUUGUUUAUUGUUAAUUUAUCUUGGUUAAAAAUACAUUAACAUUAUUUUUGAUCGCGGUCGAUUAAAAUGUCUCAACGAUCUGCUUUUGAAGACUUAUCAUAGUACCGUGCUACACUUUCUUUUAGAUGAAGUUCUGGUGGGUCUAUCUUAAUAUACUGUUAAUGUACAACGCAACAUACAUUCACAUCAGUGUUAACUCAGCGAUGGAUUCUCACGGGACAUUGGACUUAUUUGUAAUCACUAAACUACAUGAUUUGCAUGUGCUUUAGAACCUUGCCGGUUAAAGAUUUCACUCGAGGGCUGUUCUGAAAUGCGUAUUCAUACCUGAAGUGCAAGCACUAAAAAGCCUAUUAAACAGCGCCUGAAGACUGAACCAAGUUAUCUUUCACAGUAAUACUGUCAGAAAACACAUGGUUUACAUAUAACCAGUUGGUUAUGUCUAAAAUGAAAGUAAAAAGUUGAGAGAAAAACAUGCCUGUGUAGCUAUUUGAUGCAGGCAGGUCUUAAAGGGACAAUGUUAAACAUGCAGCCAACUGUCCUUAAAGGGAUAGUUCACCCUAAAAUGUAAAUUCUGUUAUUAUUUACUCACUCGAAUAUGUAUUCAUUUAUUUCUUAUGCUGAACACAAAAGAAGGUAUUUUAAAGAAUGUGGGUAAAUAAACAGUUUCCAUUGACUUUGACAGUCGGAAAAAAAAAAAAAACCUGUGGAAGUCACUGAGAACCCUGUGGAUUUGGCUACCCAUAUUCUUCAAAAUAACAUUUAUGUUCAG